AUGGCGGCGCCAAGGAUUAGAAAGCUCAUCACGGCGCAGGGAGCUUUCGACUCCGUCCUCCUCCAAGGACACGACGGGCAUCCCAUACCGUGGGACGUUGUCGUGAAGACGCUCGCCCAGCUGCUCCGCUUCCUCGCGUCCGCGCUCCCGGCGCUCGUCGCCGGGAUCCGGGAGUGGGCCGCGGCAAUGGAGCAGCGGGCGGGCUCCGCCUUGGCCGUCGCCCUCCCCACCGCGGUCGUGGUAGCGCUGGUCGUCCUCUGCUGCUGCUGCGGGUACCUGGUGGCCGGCGGGCGGCGCCGGCCGAGAGGGCCGAACGGGGAGGAGGUCUACGGGCCGCGACGGGCCGGUGGUGAGGUACGGUGGCCGUGUCGGCGGCGGGUACACAGGAGGGAUCUUCAGCCUGCACCCCCAACAAGCCCAUCGUGUGCUAGCUUUGCUACAAAUUGA
rnacentral:rRNA from 1 species